UAAGAUUCUAAUAAGCAGUCAAACAGCCAAUUUUAAAAUUGUUUCAAGAAAAUGUUCCAUUUGCUUGAAAAUCCGAGUGGUGUUGGAAUCACAGGGAAGUACAGUGCUAUUCAUGGUUGGUUGAUUGGUUUCUUCUUUAGGUUGCUGCUGUUGAUCUUCUGGUUCCUGGAGUUGGAGAGCUCUUUGGAGGAAGCCUCAGGGAGGAAUGAUACCAUAUCCUAGAGCAGCGACUGGCCAGAUCUGGACUUACGAAAGCCUACCAGUGGUACCUGGACCUUCGUCGGUUUGGAUCUGUGCCACAUGGAGGCUUUGGGAUGGGAUUCGAACGCUACUUACAAUGCAUCCUAGGAGUUGACAAUAUCAAAGAUGUUAUCCCUUUUCCAAGAUUUACUCAUUCGUGUCUUUUGUAGCUGAAAGACUGUUUAAGGAAAGAACUGUGUGGCGAAGACUCUGCACAUGUAGAAGACUGGUGCUUGCAUUUUAGACAUGUGUAUUUCAGUGCACAGUUCUUGUGCCGUGAGGUUUAAUAGACGAAAAAUAGAAAUGGUUUUGAUUUUCUUAAAAAGUCAAAGGCUUUUCGUGGACAAAUAAACUCCCCCAAGAAGAAAUACUCAGAGCAACUGGACUUUCAAGUCUGUUACCUCAAUUAAGGGAAAUAAAGUAACUGGGCCUCUUGUCCAGCUGCGGGAGAAGCUGGUCCAGGGGAAUAUCUUGAGCCUGGGUGGCAUCUCAAAAAAGAAGAGAGGAAGACACUGAAGUGUAGGGCCUCCAAGUUCCUCUCGGACCCCAAGACAGUGGGGAUGUCUCACCUUGCUGUCUUUCAUCGGAAGCUCACUUCCCUUUGUAUUUCUUUAAAGCAACCAGUGGCCAAAAGUAAGAUGCUGCUGCCUCUCUCAUCCCUUGCCAUUUAAGCUGCAGUAAAUGCCAAUCUUGUUCCCAGUGCUUUACUCAACUUUAUUCAAGAAAAUAUUCCUUUUCGGGGUCUGAAUGGAUUAAUGAAGUUGCUGUUCUGAAUUGUAACAUUCUUCAUUAGCAGUGGAAAAAAAUCACAUUUAAUAACUAUUGAUCUUUAGUGAUAAAAGUUAAGGAGAGAUCAUUAAUUUAAACUCUUCAGUCACUCUUCUAGUUCAUUUAUAUUAUAUAUUUAUAAAUACUGU